rnacentral:rRNA from 1 species
AGUGAACGCUGGCGGUAGGCCUAACACAUGCAAGUCGAACGGCAGCACAGUAAGAGCUUGCUCUUACGGGUGGCGAGUGGCGGACGGGUGAGGAAUACAUCGGAAUCUACUUUUUCGUGGGGGAUAACGUAGGGAAACUUACGCUAAUACCGCAUACGACCUACGGGUGAAAGCAGGGGGUCUUCGGACCUUGCGCGAUUGAAUGAGCCGAUGUCGGAUUAGCUAGUUGGCGGGGUAAAGGCCCACCAAGGCGACGAUCCGUAGCUGGUCUGAGAGGAUGAUCAGCCACACUGGAACUGAGACACGGUCCAGACUCCUACGGGAGGCAGCAGUGGGGAAUAUUGGACAAUGGGCGCAAGCCUGAACCAGCCAUACCGCGUGGGUGAAGAAGGCCUUCGGGUUGUAAAGCCCUUUUGUUGGGAAAGAAAAGCAGCAGGUUAAUACCCCGCUGUUCUGACGGUACCCAAAGAAUAAGCACCGGCUAACUUCGU